rnacentral:rRNA from 1 species
AUAAUACUCCAUAGAUUAGAGACACUGGAAUGUUCUUUAGUCGAAAGUUCUGGCGCCUUAGGAUGGAUCUGCGGUCGAUUAGGUUGUUGUUGGGGUAACGGCCCAACAAGCCUGUAAUCGAUACGGGUUGUGGGAGCAAGAGCCCGGAGAUGGAAUCUGAGACACGAUUCCAGGCCCUACGGGGCGCAGCAGGCGCGAAAACUUUACAAUGCAGGAAACUGUGAUAAGGGAACUCCGAGUGCCCGUAUACGCGGGCUGUCCAGGUGUUUAAAAAUCAUCUGAAGAAAGGGCCGGGCAAGACCGGUGCCAGCCGCCGCGGUAAUACCGGCGGCUCGAGUGGUGGCCACUAUUAUUGGGCUUAAAGCGUCCGUAGCUGGACCGAUAAGUCUCUUGGGAAAUCCGCCGGCUCAACCGGCGGGCGUCUAAGGGAUACUGCUAGUCUAGGGACCGGGAGAGGUGAGAGGUACUCCGGGGGUAGGAGUGAAAUCCUGUAAUCCCCGGGGGACCACCGAUGGCGAAGGCAUCUCACCAGAACGGCUCCGACAGUGAGGGACGAAAGCUGGGGGAGCGAACCGGAUUAGAUACCCGGGUAGUCCCAGCCGUAAACUAUGCGCGUUAGGUGU